GUGUCACGGUUUCCAAGUUUGAAGGACCCUUACUCAAACAAGGGAUAUGAACACUUUUGCGACAGUCAGAGCAACAAAGGCUUUCUUGAGUGGCACAGGUGACCAGCAAACAGGAGUUGACUGUAUGGAAGCCAUAUCUCUUCUCCACCACACAACAGACCAUGAUUUAGUCUUCCAGAAGAUGAGAGAAACCUUCCAGUACCGUCAGCAAAUUCUGCACAAUCCACAGCACUCAGCUGAUUCUUGGACACUAAAGGACUGAUUUUGCAAGACGUCUCCUUUAUGUUUGGAGAAGAGGCCGCAUCAAGGUUCCUGCAAAAAUGGAACACCAUUUUUGAAGGACAAAGUCAUCCAGGAGGCCAAGAACCUAAAGGAGACCUCACUUCUAAAGCGACAUCUGAAAUCUGCUCUGAAUGAAGGAUCUGACACCACUGAUGAUCCAGUCAUGUCAAAGCCUUGAGGAUCAUCUGAUGACCACUGGAAGGGGGCUCUUAGCUGUAUCUUCUUGCCACAGGAAUUUCAAGAGCGUAGGUUUUCACCUUUUAUGUUGUCUUGGACAAAAAGCUUGUACCAUGUCAGUCAUGUACGUCCUUGGGGGCUUUUGAUGAGCUAUUUAAGUCUCAUUUUGUCUUCAGUGUGAAGUAUGAUGAUUCUCUAUCCAGACUGUACACAUUUUUGCAGACAACUGUGUACAAUAUUGACAUAGGCAGAACUGAAGAAACUCCAAGAGUGAAAGAGCUGAGAGCAAGGCUUUUGAACAAGCUGUAACUAGUUUAUUCAGCCAAAAUGUUAAGUUGUUUCUCUGCACUUCAUCCUUUGGUACAGUUGUGCUUUUGUUCAGGCACCUAAAACUAAUUCAUGGAAUGUAUUCAGGGAAAAGUCUAAGACUAAAAUGUGGUCAGACAGGUUGUUGUUUGCAGUUCUCUAGUUAUUCUGGGUUUAGGAGGCAUCUUAUUAAGAUACAUGCAUUAAUUGAUAACAUGUGUGUGCCUUAUGAGACCCUUUCCAACUAUGACACAGACAAAUGCAACAAUUCUCAGUCUAUAAAUGAACUACCCUCAACUUCAUCUUAGUGCCAAAAUGCUGUAACAGGCACUCCAAUGUCCAGUCACAAGAAAGAUAUGUGUGCUUCCAUUGUAGCCAAGCUUUUGGGAAGCGGUGUACAAAAUACUGUAGUUCUUUCUACUAUUGAGAAUUUACAGGAAUUUGUGGAAGAUCUGCAAUCUGAUAUUCAGGAUCAAAUAUUGAACUUAAUCCCAGCCUCAAUCAUUUUGCACAAUAAUCAAGUUGUUUUUGUUUUGAUUGAGCAUGAAACUUUUUUUCAUGACCAUUUCCAUGCUUUUCAAGUGAGUGAACACAUGCCUAGGAAGAUACUGGUUAUAGAAAGGGAGCAGUUAACACAUUUCAAGUGUUUUGAUGCCCAAAUGUCAUAUGGAUGUGAUUCCAAAUUUUAUAUUGUGUUAGAAAAUUGUAUUAUUUGAUUUAUCAGAAUGGAAUCCAUGUGAACUUGUUUUAUGUACUUCAGCAGGAGUAAAUUCAAUGGUUUAGCUCAUGUUACACAAUGUUGCACUAAAAACUGUUGUUAUGUAUUUAUUCUGACGACAAAAUGUAAUGCAUUGUGUAUGUUAUUGACUGGUUUAUACAACUUGAGCUGUACUGUUAUGACCUUGAAGGUGGUUUAAAUUUAAAAUAAAAACAAUUUCUAAUGUUCAUGAACAACCGGGAUGUAUGAAAACAGUCAGCGGCCGAGGGGAGACAUUUUCCCUUCUGUGAGCGCUUUAAGCUAGUCCGGUAAGUAAAAAUCUGCGUUUCGCUGCAAUUGGACGUAUAAUAAGCUCUCUAACAGCCAAGCUCAAGUUUGGGUUUAGAUUUAAACGUUAUCUUGCUCCUAUUACGUUGUGUUAUUACAUGUCAACUACAUAAGCAGUUUUCCUCACAUUAAGUACAUAAUUAUAGUUACUUGCUUAAUAUUUUGAACAAAACCUACUAGCUCCAUUAACUGUACCUAAAGCCGUUUGUAGUCAUUAGCAGUGUAUGAGCCAUUUCCAUCUGUGAUGCAGACAUUUCUGUAACUCAUAUCCUCACGGUAUCUCAUAAAAGUCGUUUAGCCUGAAUAUAACUUCACUUUG